rnacentral:rRNA from 1 species
UACGGGGGGAGCAAGCGUUGUUCGGAUUUACUGGGCGUAAAGGGCGCGUAGGCGGGAUGGCAAGUCAGUCGUGAAAUCUCUCGGCUCAACCGAGAAACGUCGGCUGAUACUGCCGUUCUUGAGGGAUGCAGAGGAGACUGGAAUUCCCGGUGUAGCGGUGAAAUGUGUAGAGAUCGGGAGGAACACCGGUGGCGAAGGCGGGUCUCUGGGCAUUUCCUGACGCUGAGGCGCGAAAGCGUGGGGAGCAAACGGG